rnacentral:tmRNA from 1 species
GGGGGCGACAUGGCUUCGACGUGGGUCACGAAACUCUGAGUGCAUGCCGAGGAACAGAUAACCUCGUAAAUCCAGCUGUAAAACUUAUAGUUGCCAAUAACGACAACUACGCACUAGCUGCUUAAACUCCAGCUUAGCGCCUUCUGCCCGAGUUGUGCCUGUACAUUCGGAUCACAGGAGUCAUUCAUACAGGACCGUAGUGAUGACUUGUUCAGAGUUUGACCUAUUAAACAUUUUCUGAACUGGUAUUACGUUUUCCCUGCCCGUCGGGUAGCGUUAUACGAGAUUAAAGACGGAAUAAGCAUGUAGACCCCAUUGUGUAGGGCUUGCGGACGCGGGUUCGAUUCCCGCCGCCUCCACCA